GACGAACGCUGGCGGCGUGCUUAACACAUGCAAGUCGAACGGAAAGGCCCUGCUUUUGUGGGGUGCUCGAGUGGCGAACGGGUGAGUAACACGUGAGUAACCUGCCCUUGACUUUGGGAUAACUUCAGGAAACUGGGGCUAAUACCGGAUAGGAGCUCCUGCUGCAUGGUGGGGGUUGGAAAGUUUCGGCGGUUGGGGAUGGACUCGCGGCUUAUCAGCUUGUUGGUGGGGUAGUGGCUUACCAAGGCUUUGACGGGUAGCCGGCCUGAGAGGGUGACCGGCCACAUUGGGACUGAGAUACGGCCCAGACUCCUACGGGAGGCGGCAGUGGGGAAUAUUGCACAAUGGGCGGAAGCCUGAUGCAGCAACGCCGCGUGCGGGAUGACGGCCUUCGGGUUGUAAACCGCUUUCGCCUGUGACGAAGCGUGAGUGACGGUAAUGGGUAAAGAAGCACCGCCUAACUACGUG
rnacentral:rRNA from 1 species